UAAUACAUGCAAGUCGAGCGAAUCGAUGGGAGCUUGCUCCCUGAGAUUAGCGGCGGACGGGUGAGUAACACGUGGGCAACCUGCCUAUAAGACUGGGAUAACUUCGGGAAACCGGAGCUAAUACCGGAUACGUUCUUUUCUCGCAUGAGAGAAGAUGGAAAGACGGUUUCGGCUGUCACUUAUAGAUGGGCCCGCGGCGCAUUAGCUAGUUGGUGAGGUAAUGGCUCACCAAGGCGACGAUGCGUAGCCGACCUGAGAGGGUGAUCGGCCACACUGGGACUGAGACACGGCCCAGACUCCUACGGGAGGCAGCAGUAGGGAAUCUUCCGCAAUGGACGAAAGUCUGACGGAGCAACGCCGCGUGAACGAAGAAGGCCUUCGGGUCGUAAAGUUCUGUUGUUAGGGAAGAACAAGUACCAGAGUAACUGCUGGUACCUUGACGGUACCUAACCAGAAAGCCACGGCUAACUACGUGCCAGCAGCCGCGGUAAUACGUAGGUGGCAAGCGUUGUCCGGAAUUAUUGGGCGUAAAGCGCGCGCAGGUGGUUCCUUAAGUCUGAUGUGAAAGCCCACGGCUCAACCGUGGAGGGUCAUUGGAAACUGGGGAACUUGAGUGCAGAAGAGGAAAGUGGAAUUNCNAGUGUAGCGGUGAAAUGCGUAGAGAUUUGGAGGAACNNCNNUGGCGAAGGCGACUUUCUGGUCUGUAACUGACACUGAGGCGCGAAAGCGUGGGGAGCAAACAGGAUUAGAU
rnacentral:rRNA from 1 species